AUCUGCCUUACCCACCUUUUAUCCCCAAAUCAAAAUCCUCCUAACAAAAUCCCCCAAAAAAAUCCCUGAACACUCAUCAGUUCCCCCCGUAUGCCCCACCCACUGAAAUCCCUUUUCUGUCUGACCAUCCCUCACCCAUUUGUAUUACCACCAUCCACCUGAGCUUCGCUACCGCUUUGUCCAACUCCUAUGCCUACCAAGUUAAGCUUCACACAACCUUGAUGAUUGAGGAGAUCAGUGUUGUUAGGUCGGCUCGGGGUUGGAGAUCAUAGGAGGCAGCAUCACACUAUCAAGCCAAUACCUUUGGAAUAUUGUUACAUAUGUUAGAAUUAUCAAGUGAGUGGCAUGUAUAAGGACCUAGUUUUAUAACAUGUGUUAUUAUAAUUUGGCCAAAUGUAUUGACCUAUAUUGUGCUAUUGAUUAUGACUUGUAAAUCUAGCUAUUCAUGUUGUGUCUAAUAA